rnacentral:rRNA from 1 species
UACGUAGGGGGCUAGCGUUGUCCGGAAUCAUUGGGCGUAAAGCGCGUGUAGGCGGUCCGGUAAGUCCGCUGUGAAAGUCGGGGGCUCAACCCUCGAAUGCCGGUGGAUACUGUCGGGCUAGAGUGCGGAAGAGGCGAGUGGAAUUCCUGGUGUAGCGGUGAAAUGCGCAGAUAUCAGGAGGAACACCGGUGGCGAAGGCGCCACUCUGGGCCGAAACUGACGCUGAGGAGCGAAAGCGUGGGUAGCAAACAGG